UACGUAGGGUGCAAGCGUUAAUCGGAAUUACUGGGCGUAAAGUGUGCGCAGGCGGCCUCGCAUGUCGAGUGUGAAAUCCCCGGGCUUAACUUGGGAAUUGCGCUCGAAACUACGGGGCUUGAGUGUGGCAGAGGGAGGUGGAAUUCCACGUGUAGCGGUGAAAUGCGUAGAGAUGUGGAGGAACACCAAUGGCGAAGGCAGCCUCCUGGGCCAACACUGACGCUCAUGCACGAAAGCGUGGGGAGCAAACAGGAUUAGAUACCCCCGUAGUCC
rnacentral:rRNA from 1 species